CCUACGGGUGGCAGCAGUGGGGAAUAUUGCGCAAUGGGCGAAAGCCUGACGCAGCGACGCCGCGUGAGGGAUGAAGGUCUUCGGAUCGUAAACCUCUGUCAGCAGGGAAGAACGGUCACUGUGCUAAUCAGCAGUGAAUUGACGGUACCUGCAAAGGAAGCACCGGCUAACUCCGUGCCAGCAGCCGCGGUAAUACGGAGGGUGCGAGCGUUAAGCGGAAUUACUGGGCGUAAAGCGCUCGUAGGCGGUAUGUCAAGUCAAGGGUGAAAUCCCCGGGCUCAACGUGGGAACUGCAUUUGAAACUGGCAGACUGGAGUGUGUGAGAGGAUAGUGGAAGUCCAGGUGUAGGAGUGAAAUCCGUAGAUAUCUGGAGGAACAUCAGUGGCGAAGGCGACUAUCUGGCACAUAACUGACGCUGAGGAGCGAAAGCGUGGGUAGCAAACAGGAUUAGAUACCCGUGUAGUC
rnacentral:rRNA from 1 species